CAGGAUGAACGCUAGCGACAGGCUAACACAUGCGAAGUCGAGGGGCACUCACGGGAGUAGCAAUACAACUGGUGGCGACCGGCGCACGGGUGAGUAACGCGUAUGCAACCUACCUAUCAGAGGGGAAUAACCCGGCGAAAGUCGGACUAAUACCGCAUAAAACAGGGGCACCGCAUGGUGAUAUUUGUUAAAGAAAUUCGCUGAUAGAUGGGCAUGCGUUCCAUUAGGUAGUUGGUGAGGUAACGGCUCACCAAGCCGACGAUGGAUAGGGGAACUGAGAGGUUGGUCCCCCACACUGGUACUGAGACACGGACCAGACUCCUACGGGAGGCAGCAGUGAGGAAUAUUGGUCAAUGGGCGGGAGCCUGAACCAGCCAAGUCGCGUGAAGGGAAAAGAAGGAUCUAUGGUUCGUAAACUUCUUUUGCAGGGGAAUAAAGUGCAGGACGUGUCCUGUUUUGUAUGUACCCUGAGAAUAAGGAUCGGCUAACUCCGUGCCAGCAGCUGC
rnacentral:rRNA from 1 species